AGUGAUUAUCCAAUGGCAUUCUACGUUACACUGUGUAAGUCUAAAGGAAGUUACGACACGAUUUUAAAGGAAGUGUGACCCGGAUAAUCUACCCGAACUGUGAAAGGAAGAAAAUUCUCGAUACGCCGAGGCUAUGCGGUGAUCAUCGAUUGAGCUCUAAAAAGGUUUUAUUAACGUGUACUAUACCUAUGGCUGAGGAUACAGGCUACAAUGGUUUACGCUGCUUUUGGAUACUGGGGUGGAUUCCAAUCAGGUUGAUGUUUUUGACUACAGAUGUCGUAAAGCUCCUGUUAGAUAGAGGAACAGAUCCGAAUCAGUCUGAUGAUUUUAAAACGAACGUCAUCAGGUGGCCGUGAAGAUAUUAUCAAACAUUAAAGGGAAAAGGAUCCAUUGCAGGAAGCUGAAAUUUGCCACAUUGUUCUUUUGCUUGGUCAUAAUAGCUAAAGACCAUUCGUCAAUCUAACCACUUUGGAUAAUAGACACAUUCAAAGUCAUCAUCUCUGACACAAAAUUUACAGCAAGCAUAUCGACCAAGCUUGAACUAAGAUUAGCAAUCCAGCAAGUUUGUGGACGGAACGAAGACAAACGUCUCCUUGACAACAGGAAAACACUUCACUGCAGUUUGUAUCACUCUGCUAGUAAACCUAAAAUCUCAGAUAAUUCAAAUGAUGAAAUUGAUUGUUUCAUUUAUGUUUUAAAGAAGUGAUAUUGUAUUACAUGUAUAACAAAUUCUGGUGAAUUACUAAUUACAGUCUGGAUUUCUCAUUUUAUCCUGUAUAAAGUUGAGUUCAGAAUAAAAACGUUAUGAUGUACAAUGUA